rnacentral:rRNA from 1 species
UAGAGUUUGAUCCUGGCUCAGGACGAACGCUGGCGGUGCGCCUUAUGCAUGCAAGUUGAGCGAAGCUUUUUUGUAGUUUACUACGAAAAAUGACUGAGCGGCGAACGGGUGAGUAACGCGUGAGCAAUCUACCUUAGUUACUGGGAUACCCCGAGGAAACUCGGAUUAAUACCGGAUAUUCUUAUUUUUUCACAUGAAGUUUUAAGGAAAGGUCAGCCGAACUAAGAUGAGCUAGCGUUCUAUCAGCUAGUUGGUGAGGUAAAAGCUUACCAAGGCUACGACGGAUAGCUGGUCUGAGAGGACGAUCAGCCACACUGGGACUGAGACACGGCCCAGACUCCUACGGGAGGCUGCAGCAGGGAAUAUUGUGCAAUGAACGAAAGUUUGACACAGCGACACCGCGUGUGGGAUGACGGAUCUAGGUUUGUAAACCACUUUCAGGAGGGAAGAAAAUGACGGUACCUCCACAAGAAGACCCGGCCAACUAUGUGCCAGCAGCCGCGGUAAUACAUAGGGGUCAAGCGUUGUCCGGAUUUAUUGGGCGUAAAGAGCUCGUAGGCGGUUCAACAAGUCGGUCGUGAAAGUUCAGGGCUCAACCCUGAAAUGUCGAUCGAUACUGUUGUGACUAGGAUACGGUAGAGGUGAGUGGAAUUCCCGGUGUAGGGGUGAAAUCCGUAGAUAUCGGGAGGAACACCAGUGGCGAAGGCGGCCAUCUGGACGGUGACUGACGCUGAGACUCGAAAGCGUGGGUAGCAAACAGGAUUAGAUACCCUGGUAGUCCACACCGUAAACGGUGAGAGCUCGUCGUAGUGGGUAUUGACCCCUGCUGUGACCAAGUUAACGCAUGAAGCUCUCCGCCUGGGAAGUACGGUCGCAAGACUAAAACUCAAAGAAAUUGACGGGGGCCCGCACAAGCGGUGGAGCAUGUUGUUUAAUUCGAAGCAACGCGCAGAACCUUACCUGGAUUUGACAUCUCCGGAAUCUCUCUGAAAGGAGAGAGUGCCUUCGGGAACCGGAUGACAGGUGCUGCAUGGCUGUCGCCAGCUCGUGUCGUGAGAUGUUGGGUUAAGUCCCGUAACGAGCGCAACCCUUAUCCUUAGUUGCCAGCACAUAAUGGUGGGAACUCUAGGGAGACUGCCGGUGAUAAACCGGAGGAAGGUGGGGACGACGUCAAGUCAUCAUGGCCCUUAUGGGUAGGGCUACACACGUGCUACAAUGGUCGGUACAGAGGGCUGCAAACUCGCGAGAGUAAGCUAAUCUCAGAAAGUCGAUCUUAGUCCGGAUUGGAGUCUGCAACUCGACUCCAUGAAGUUGGAAUCGCUAGUAAUCGCGGAUCAGAAUUGUCGCGGUGAAUACGUUCCCGGGCCUUGUACUCACCGCCCGUCACACCAUGGGAGUUGAAUUCAUUCGAAGCGGGGAUGCUAAAAUAGCUACCUUCCACAGUGGAUUUAGUAACUAGGGUGAAGUCGUAACAAGGUAACCA